rnacentral:ncRNA from 1 species
ACAAAAAAGAGUGAACCGGCAGCCGCAUCCCGCGCGCGGCCGGUGAAU